rnacentral:lncRNA from 1 species
UUAACUCAUUUCAGUUCUGGGAUGGCUGGAAGAGGUGAGGAAACUGCAGAAGAAAAGUUUGAAGCUAGCAGAGGUUGGUUCAUGAGUUUGAAGGAAAGAAGCCAUCUCCAUAACAUAAAAGUGCAAGGUGAAGCAGCCAGUGCUGAUGGGGAAGCUGCAGCAAGUUAUCCAGAAGAUCCAGCUAAGUGCUUUGAAGCUACCAAGUGGAGCAUGUGAUGAAAAUAUUGUUUCUUUUUUUGUGUAAAUGUAUCUUGUACCUCAGGUUGCUAUGAGUUUUGGCCUCAGGAUAGCUGUCAAGGUUUGCUCUCAAUCAUAGACCCCAGGUGCCAGGCUAACCUGCCCUCCUGGUCUAAGUGUAACUCGUGGGCUGUAUUUUGUAUAUUCUACGUUUAAUCACCAGUAAUGAAGUAAAUAUUAAGGUUUAUGGUCUAUCAUUUCGUCUCUUUUAUGCCAGC